UGGGGGAUAACGUUCGGAAACGGACGCUAAUACCGCAUACGUCCUACGGGAGAAAGCAGGGGACCUUCGGGCCUUGCGCUAUCAGAUGAGCCUAGGUCGGAUUAGCUAGUUGGUGGGGUAAUGGCUCACCAAGGCGACGAUCCGUAACUGGUCUGAGAGGAUGAUCAGUCACACUGGAACUGAGACACGGUCCAGACUCCUACGGGAGGCAGCAGUGGGGAAUAUUGGACAAUGGGCGAAAGCCUGAUCCAGCCAUGCCGCGUGUGUGAAGAAGGUCUUCGGAUUGUAAAGCACUUUAAGUUGGGAGGAAGGGCCAUUACCUAAUACGUGAUGGUUUUGACGUUACCGACAGAAUAAGCACCGGCUAACUCUGUGCCAGCAGCCGCGGUAAUACAGAGGGUGCAAGCGUUAAUCGGAAUUACUGGGCGUAAAGCGCGCGUAGGUGGUUUGUUAAGUUGGAUGUGAAAUCCCCGGGCUCAACCUGGGAACUGCAUUCAAAACUGACUGCUAGAGUAUGGUAGAGGGUGGUGGAAUUUCCUGUGUAGCGGUGAAAUGCGUA
rnacentral:rRNA from 1 species